UGACACCGCUCGCCCCGCGCUCUUCGCGGCCGCCAUCGCUGGCGACGACGGGAGAGCGGCGGCGGACUCUGCGUGUUCUGGAGCGCGAGCUCCGAGUGCACCGAACCUCGUGAACGACGAGAGACCCUGGCUUUUGUGCAGGAUUGUUGACGGCGUGUCUUGCGAGCCCCCCCGGUCCGCGAGACUUCCCUCGGGCAAUCCAUCAACGCCGACCGUUAGUCGCGUCCCUCCUUAUUCCGGUCACACGUGUGCAUCCAACAAACACACUUUCAAACUUUCG
rnacentral:misc_RNA from 1 species